rnacentral:rRNA from 1 species
AACGAACGCUGGCGGCAGGCUUAACACAUGCAAGUCGAGCGCCCCGCAAGGGGAGCGGCAGACGGGUGAGUAACGCGUGGGAACGUACCUUUUGGUUCGGAACAACUCCGGGAAACUGGAGCUAAUACCGGAUAAGCCCUAACGGGGAAAGAUUUAUCGCCGAAAGAUCGGCCCGCGUCUGAUUAGCUCGUUGGUGAGGUAACGGCUCACCAAGGCGACGAUCAGUAGCUGGUCUGAGAGGAUGAUCAGCCACACUGGGACUGAGACACGGCCCAGACUCCUACGGGAGGGAGCCGUGGGGAAUAUUGGAACAUGGGCGGAAGGCUGAUCCAGCCAUGCCGCGUGAGUGAUGAAGGCCUUAGGGUUGUAAAGCUCUUUUGUCCGGGAAGAUAAUGACUGUACCGGAAGAAUAAGCCCCGGCUAACUUCGUG